rnacentral:rRNA from 1 species
GCAUGUGGUUUAAUUCGAAGCAACGCGAAGAACCUUACCUGCUCUUGACAUCUCCCUGACCGGCAAGUAAUGUUGCCUUUCCUUCGGGACAGGGAUGACAGGUGGUGCAUGGUUGUCGUCAGCUCGUGUCGUGAGAUGUUGGGUUAAGUCCCGCAACGAGCGCAACCCCUAUCUUUAGUAGCCAGCGGUUCGGCCGGGCACUCUAGAGAGACUGCCAGGGAUAACCUGGAGGAAGGUGGGGAUGACGUCAAAUCAUCAUGCCCCUUAUGAGCAGGGCUACACACGUGCUACAAUGGCGUAAACAAAGGGAGGCAGAACCGCGAGGUCGAGCAAAUCCCAAAAAUAACGUCUCAGUUCGGAUUGUAGUCUGCAACUCGACUACAUGAAGCUGGAAUCGCUAGUAAUCGCGAAUCAGAAUGUCGCGGUGAAUACGUUCCCGGGUCUUGUACACACCGCCCGUCACACCAUGGGAGUCAGUAACGCCCGAAGUCAGUGACCCAACCGUAAGGAGGGAGCUGCCGAAGGUGGGACCGAUAACUGGGGUGAAGUCGUAACAAGGUAGCCGUAUCGGAAGGUGCGGCUGGAUCACCUCCUUUCUAAGGAA